rnacentral:rRNA from 1 species
AGCGAACGCUGGCGGCAGGCCUAACACAUGCAAGUCGAACGAACUCUUCGGAGUUAGUGGCGGACGGGUGAGUAACACGUGGGAACGUGCCCUUUGGGUCGGAAUAACUCUGGGAAACUUGUGCUAAUACCGAAUGUGCCCUUCGGGGGAAAGAUUUAUCGCCAUUAGAGCGGCCCGCGUCUGAUUAGCUAGUUGGGGAGGUAAUGGCUCACCAAGGCGACGAUCAGUAGCUGGUCAGAGAGGAUGACCAGCCACACUGGGACUGAGACACGGCCCAGACUCCUACGGGAGGCAGCAGUGGGGAAUCUUGCGCAAUGGGCGAAAGCCUGACGCAGCCAUGCCGCGUGAAUGAUGAAGGUCUUAGGAUUGUAAAAUUCUUUCACCGGGGACGAUAAUGACGGUACCCGGAGAAGAAGCCCCGGCUAACUUCGUG